rnacentral:rRNA from 1 species
AAUAGAUACCCCGGUAGUCCACGCCGUAAACGAUGAGUGCUAAGUGUUAGGGGGUUUCCGCCCCUUAGUGCUGCAGCUAACGCAUUAAGCACUCCGCCUGGGGAGUACGGUCGCAAGACUGAAACUCAAAGGAAUUGACGGGGGCCCGCACAAGCGGUGGAGCAUGUGGUUUAAUUCGAAGCAACGCGAAGAACCUUACCAGGUCUUGACAUCCCGCUGAUCGCUAUGGAGACAUAGCCUUCCCUUCGGGGACAGCGGUGACAGGUGGUGCAUGGUUGUCGUCAGCUCGUGUCGUGAGAUGUUGGGUUAAGUCCCGCAACGAGCGCAACCCUUGAUCUUAGUUGCCAUCAUUCAGUUGGGCACUCUAAGGUGACUGCCGGUGAUAAACCGGAGGAAGGUGGGGAUGACGUCAAAUCAUCAUGCCCCUUAUGACCUGGGCUACACACGUGCUACAAUGGACGGUACAAACGGUUGCCAACCCGCGAGGGGGAGCUAAUCUGAUAAAACCGUUCUCAGUUCGGAUUGCAGG